rnacentral:rRNA from 1 species
UAUAGAUGGAUCCGCGCUGCAUUAGCUAGUUGGUAAGGUAACGGCUUACCAAGGCAACGAUGCAUAGCCGACCUGAGAGGGUGAUCGGCCACACUGGAACUGAGACACGGUCCAGACUCCUACGGGAGGCAGCAGUAGGGAAUCUUCCGCAAUGGGCGAAAGCCUGACGGAGCAACGCCGCGUGAGUGAUGAAGGUCUUCGGAUCGUAAAACUCUGUUAUUAGGGAAGAACAUAUGUGUAAGUAACUGUGCACAUCUUGACGGUACCUAAUCAGAAAGCCACGGCUAACUACGUGCCAGCAGCCGCGGUAAUACGUAGGUGGCAAGCGUUAUCCGGAAUUAUUGGGCGUAAAGCGCGCGUAGGCGGUUUUUUAAGUCUGAUGUGAAAGCCCACGGCUCAACCGUGGAGGGUCAUUGGAAACUGGAAAACUUGAGUGCAGAAGAGGAAAGUGGAAUUCCAUGUGUAGCGGUGAAAUGCGCAGAGAUAUGGAGGAACACCAGUGGCGAAGGCGACUUUCUGGUCUGUAACUGACGCUGAUGUGCGAAAGCGUGGGGAUCAAACAGGAUUAGAUACCCUGGUAGUCCACGCCGUAAACGAUGAGUGCUAAGUGUUAGGGGGUUUCCGCCCCUUAGUGCUGCAGCUAACGCAUUAAGCACUCCGCCUGGGGAGUACGACCGCAAGGUUGAAACUCAAAGGAAUUGACGGGGACCCGCACAAGCGGUGGAGCAUGUGGUUUAAUUCGAAGCAACGCGAAGAACCUUACCAAAUCUUGACAUCCUUUGACAACUCUAGAGAUAGAGCCUUCCCCUUCGGGGGACAAAGUGACAGGUGGUGCAUGGUUGUCGUCAGCUCGUGUCGUGAGAUGUUGGGUUAAGUCCCGCAACGAGCGCAACCCUUAAGCUUAGUUGCCAUCAUUAAGUUGGGCACUCUAAGUUGACUGCCGGUGACAAACCGGAGGAAGGUGGGGAUGACGUCAAAUCAUCAUGCCCCUUAUGAUUUGGGCUACACACGUGCUACAAUGGACAAUACAAAGGGCAGCGAAACCGCGAGGUCAAGCAAAUCCCAUAAAGUUGUUCUCAGUUCGGAUUGUAGUCUGCAACUCGACUACAUGAAGCUGGAAUCGCUAGUAAUCGUAGAUCAGCAUGCUACGGUGAAUACAUUCCCGGGUCUUGUACACACCGCCCGUCACACCACGAGAGUUUGUAACACCCGAAGCCGGUGGAGUAACCUUUUAGGAGCUAGCCGUCGAAGGUGGGACAAAUGAUUGGGGUGAAGUCGUAACAAGGUAGCCGUAUCGGAAGGUGCGGCUGGAUCACCUCCUUU